rnacentral:lncRNA from 1 species
CGGGCCUAAUAAGCUUCCUUUGAACUUUUCUAAUUCUUUCAAAUUCUAUUCCUGUAGACUCCUUCAACUUGGCAUGCAAAUCGCUGAAAAUACUCGUGCUGCCAGCAGAGGGCGCCCUCAUUGUGCCCAUGCUCCGUCCAGGAAGUGCAUAGUGGAGUCCAAAGGAGAUUUGGUCUGGGAAACAUUUGCACGGGGUUUCUGGUUAUCAUAUUUCCCCAACAGGCACCUGUUUGACUGGCAUUUCCUGGCUCACACCCAUCUUAGCAUAUUUCUUUGUUGGUUGAUUGGCUUGAAGGAAGGUUUCAGUAAUUCGUUACUUCACAUCAUCAGAGUCUGGCUCUCCCCACCACCCUGCUGCUGGUGUGUAGCUGUAUCAGAGACAUUGCCUGGGAAGACCACGUGGGACCAGCUGUGUCUGAAACUCUGCUGAUUCUCAGGUGGGAUUAUGUGGGGAGCAAAAUUGUCAGGCCUGGGAUUUAAAGGACUAUUCACAUCAUGAGAGCUCUCUAG